GAGUGAAGAGGGAAGAGCUCAUCAUUGGAAUCUGGCAGUGUUGCACUGUCCGAGUUGUAGAUGAGGAGUAGUUCAUCUGGACUGCAUGGCGUCCAAGUACAAUAGGCCGUCAGUGGGACAUCAUAGAGGGUGACAAUCCCGUCCUUGAUGCCAAUGUGCAAGUCCAUUACGAUGACUAUCUCAGAGAGUCGAGCAGUUUGGGAUUUGCUGCUUAAACAUGGGAGGUAGAUUCCUUCUAAAGCUAAAUACAGGCGAGAGACCGAUAGAGAACAAGUACCGCAAGGGAAAGAUGAAAUAGCACUCUGUGAAGGGAGUCAAAAGGCGUGAAAUUGUUGCGAGAGAAGCGAUUCAAGUCAGCGUAGCUAGGCCCAUCAAGCCUAUUGCUUUGGACUAGCUUUGCCAGCGGUCUUGUCCUUAGAGACUUGACUUGUAUGUCCAGCCUGGUAUGCACAGGUAGCCCCCCUUGGGGGUCAGUGACAUGGCUGGUGGAAUGGCUUGCAAUCGACCCGUCUUGAAACACGGACCAAGGAGUCUAACAUGUAUGCGAGUAUAAGGGUGGCAAACCCGUAUGCGCAAUGAAAGUGAUUUUCGAUGAUUGAGAAUGGCCUGAUGACCAGACAAGCAAUACAUGUCCCUCGUACGGCCAUUGCCCAAGUUCCGUGGUAGAUCCCAUGAACAUGGAGUUGGAGCAUACAUGCUAGGACCCGAAAGAUGGUGAACUAUGCCUGGACAAAGCGAAGCCAAAGGAAACUCUGGUGGAGGCUUGUAGCGAUUCUGACGUGCAAAUCGAUCGUCUGAUCUG
rnacentral:rRNA from 1 species